UGGAAGCAGGAUUUGGGGCCUGUACCACCACACCAUGAUCACUGAAAAUAACUUGGAUGAAGGUAUUCAAGCCAGAAGCACACAUGUGGGGGUCAGGGGACAUUUGAGGGAUUUGUAUCUCUCCUCCAUCAUGUGGUACCCCAGGAAUUGAUCUACACUGUAAGACUGCUUCCUCAUAUCUUGGUCUCUAUCCUCUAAGCCAGUGCUUCUCAAUCUUUCUAAUGCUU
rnacentral:lncRNA from 1 species